AUUGAACGCUGGCGGCAGGCCUAACACAUGCAAGUCGAGCGGAGCGGCGGACGGGCGAGUAAUGCCUAGGAAUCUGCCUGGUAGUGGGGGAUAACGUCAGGAAACGGGCGAUAAUACCGCAUACUAUCAGAUGAGCCUAGGUCGGAUUGGCUAUUUGGUGGGGUAAAGGCCUACCAAGGCGACGAUCCUUAACUGGUUUGAGAGGAUGAUCAGUCAAACUGGACCUGAGACACGGUCCAGACUCCUACGGGAGGCAGAAGUGGUGAAUAUUGGACAAUGGGCGAAAUCCUGAUCCAGACAUGCCGCGUGUGUGAAGAAGGUCUUCGGAUGGUAAAGCACUUUAAGUUGGGAGGCGUUACCAACAGAAUAAGCACCGGCUAACUUCGUGCCAGCAGCCGCGGUAAUUC
rnacentral:rRNA from 1 species